rnacentral:sRNA from 1 species
CGCUAGCCCCGAUUGCAGCGAAAAUCCUUUUGUGCCGGGGUUCGGCACAAAAGAUUGUAGCGGAAAGUGGGAACCUUG